CCUAAUACAUGCAGUCGAGCGAAUGGAUUAAGAGCUUGCUCUUAUGAAGUUAGCGGCGGACGGGUGAGUAACACGUGGGUAACCUGCCCAUAAGACUGGGAUAACUCCGGGAAACCGGGGCUAAUACCGGAUAACAUUUUGCACCGCAGGUGCGAAAUUGAAAGGCGGCUUCGGCUGUCACUUAUGGAUGGACCCGCGUCGCAUAGCUAGUUGGUGAGGUAACGGCUCACCAAGGCAACGAUGCGUAGCCGACCUGAGAGGGUGAUCGGCCACACUGGGACUGAGACACGGCCCAGACUCCUACGGGAGGCAGCAGUAGGGAAUCUUCCGCAAUGGACGAAAGUCUGACGGAGCAACGCCGCGUGAGUGAUGAAGGCUUUCGGGUCGUAAAACUCUGUUGUUAGGGAAGAACAAGUGCUAGUUGAAUAAGCUGGCACCUUGACGGUACCUAACCAGAAAGCCACGGCUAACUACGUGCCAGCAGCCGCGGUAAUACGUAGGUGGCAAGCGUUAUCCGGAAUUAUUGGGCGUAAAGCGCGCGCAGGUGGUUUCUUAAGUCUGAUGUGAAAGCCCACGGCUCAACCGUGGAGGGUCAUUGGAAACUGGGAGACUUGAGUGCAGAAGAGGAAAGUGGAAUUCCAUGUGUAGCGGUGAAAUGCGUAGAGAUAUGGAGGAACACCAGUGGCGAAGGCGACUUUCUGGUCUGUAACUGACACUGAGGCGCGAAAGCGUGGGGAGCAAACAGGAUUAGU
rnacentral:rRNA from 1 species